CCGCCCGCGCCGCGGGGCGAGGUGAGGUGAGCGCCCGCUCCUGCCAUGGCGGCGCUGCGGGACGUCUUUCGGCGGCCUUUCGGCGGCCCGCUCGCGGUGGGUUUCAGUUCCCCGGGCAGCGAGCCGACGGCAGCGGUGGUGUCCGUCAGCGCCUGUCCUGCGCCCCCGGCCUGCCGAAGAUCCCUUUGGAAGCGAAAAAACUGCUUUGAAGCAUCUAGGGGAAGCAGGCGGGAAUUUACUAUAAAUUUCUCACAGGUACAGCAGCUCUACAGAAGCAGCUUAAUUUCCCCCCGGCCGGCUGCAGGCAGUCAGCACAGCCACUCACCUCCGCGAGGCGCUGCCCCCCGAGCUCUGCUGCUGGCCGCGCUCGGUGCGGGACACGCGGUGCAGAAAGUGCCAUUUAGGAGUCUGCGCCAUACGGAUCGCGGGGCCAUUAUAAAGCCGGGCUGUGUCUGUGCUGUGCAUUCUCUGAGCUUGUUGGAGUGUGUUUGUUCACCUUUCUGUUUCGAGCGGUAGUGCGAAAAUCAUCGUUAACUUCAACACGCAUAAUUUGUGUUUCCUUUUCAGACCCUUUGUGGCGUAUCAUAAUGCUGGCCAAUCUCGUAUUUUUUCUUUGCCUGGCUAUUAAUGCUGCUUCUUAGCUUCUUCUCAUUCUCUAGUCAUACACGAUCCUGCCCCUCUGUGCUGUGGGGCCUCACCUGGAGUACUGCUUACAGAUGUGGAGUCCUCAGUACAGGAGAGACACGGACCUGUUGGAGGGUGUCCAGAGGAGGGCCACAAAAAUAAUCCCAGGGAUGGAACACCUCUCCUGUGAGGACAGGCUGGGAGAGCUGGGGCUGUUCAGCCUGGAGAAGGCACUGGGGAAACCUGAGAGUGGUCUUUCAGUAUCUAAAGGGGGGCUGUAAGAAGGAAGGGGACAGACUUUUUAGUAGGGUCUGUUGUGAAUUGGAAUUUCACACUUGGAAUUUCAUCACCCCAAUAGAAAUCAGGAGAGGGAAAUUGGUUUUGUGUGCCUCUGCAGAUAGGUCAGCAGUGGACAGGACCCAGUGACAGACAUAGAAGAGUUUGGUGCUUCUGACAACAGUGGAGCGUCGCUGAGGAUCCCAGAGCUGUGACUGCAGUUUUCCAAUUCGCAGGCUGUCUUGGCAGUAGAGGAAAUGUGAAGAAGAGCUAUGUGUCAUUUGAAUAGUGCUGUCAUCUUACCAAUUACUACUAUAGCUGCUGUACACAGGUGUUGCAAGGUCAUACCUUCACCCAUCCGAGGCAAAGACAUGAUGUUAUCUGCCUGAAAAUAUCUGUCUGGGCAAUCCUUCAACGAGACUUCUCCCACACAUCAAUCCAACUUUCUUUUUUCUCCUGUAACUUCUUGCUUCUUUCAUGUUGCACAAGAGGUUCCCUAAAACAUUAAUUUUUCCUCCUCCAGAUUCCUACACUUGAAUUGAAUAGAAUUUGGAGUGGUAUGAAGUGCCUCACACAGAGAAGAACCAGCAUUUUGAAGGACCUGCAGGUGCUGCUACCUGAAGGUUAGUUUAACAACUGAAAAUACUCUAUCGUGAAUGGCCUCAAUAUAUCAUUCAGGUGGAAGCUAAAGGGAAGAGCCUAGAUCAUGGUGAUGUUGGCUGUACAUGUUCGUGCUUCUGUGUGGAAUCAGGGACACCUGCUUCUUGGUCUGCUGCUGCUUCAGCUUCUUG
ensembl:lncRNA